rnacentral:lncRNA from 1 species
GAGUUCUCCUUCUGGCGAGAAGGAAUUAGUUCUUGAGAGAAUGGAUUAGUUCCCAAGAGAGCGGAUUGUUAUAAAGCAAACUUCCUCCUGCUAUUUAGUCCCCCUUCCCACAUUCCCACUUCACCUUUGACCUUCUCCACCAUGUUUUGACACGGCAGAAAAAUCCUCGCCAGAAGCCCAGCAGAUACCAGUGCCAUGCUUCUUGUACAGCCUACAGAAACUUGGAAAAUGUGUAAUACUGAAGUGGAUUAAAGAUAGACACAAAUUUUUGACACUGUUCUCAUCAAAAGGUGCUGAUAACCUUCAGAACAUGGCAGCUGCUUUCCUUCUGCCUCCCAGAACUCACAACUUCCCUUUGGACCAACUCCAAUCUGAAAUUAUGUAGAAAGGGAGAGUCUGAAAAACAUAGUCCCAAACAUAACCAAGUAGACAAUAGAACAAUCUGGCACAUUGAUUGGUAUUUUGACUUAACCGCCAGAUCACCAGCAGCUCAUUGUAGGCAGGCGCAAGUAAAUAUCUCACCUCAAAUGCAACAAGUACAAAAUGAAUGCAUCAUAGUGUCCCAGGCUUCCAUUAAACAAAAACAAAUAAAUAAAACAAACAAAAAGCAAUCUUUUAUCCCUCAGCUUUAUUAAUGCAUAAC